CCCUUAGAUGUUCUGGGCCGCACGCGUGCUACACUGAGUGGAUCAGCGGGUCAGGUUGCGCGAAAGCGUUUCCUAAUCUUGAAAUCCGCUCGUGAUGGGGAUUGACGGUUGCAAUUUUCUGUCAUGAACGAGGAAUACCUUGUAAGCGCGAGUCAUCAUCCCGCGCUGAAUACGUCCCUGCCCUUUGUACACACCGCCCGUCGCUCCUACCGAUUGAGUGGUCCGGUGAGGCUUUGGGAUCUGAGCGGAAAGAGCGUUUCGCUCGUUCUGCCUGGAAAACUCAGUCGAACCUUAUCAUUUAGAGGAAGGAGAAGUCGUAACA
rnacentral:rRNA from 1 species